CCUACGGGAGGCAGCAGUGGGGAAUAUUGGGCAAUGGGAGAAAUCNUGACCCAGCAACGCCGCGUGGAGGACGAAGGCCUUCGGGUUGUAAACUCCUGUCAGCAGGGAAAAAGGCUAUAAAAGCUAAUACCUUAUAUAGUUUGAUGGUACCUGCAGAGGAAGCACCGGCUAACUACGUGCCAGCAGCCGCGGUAAU
rnacentral:rRNA from 1 species